rnacentral:rRNA from 1 species
GAUGAACGCUGGCGGCGUGCCUAAUACAUGCAAGUCGAGCGAACGGACGAGAAGCUUGCUUCUCUGAUGUUAGCGGCGGACGGGUGAGUAACACGUGGAUAACCUACCUAUAAGACUGGGAUAACUUCGGGAAACCGGAGCUAAUACCGGAUAAUAUUUUGAACCGCAUGGUUCAAAAGUGAAAGACGGUCUUGCUGUCACUUAUAGAUGGAUCCGCGCUGCAUUAGCUAGUUGGUAAGGUAACGGCUUACCAAGGCAACGAUGCAUAGCCGCCCUGAGAGAGUGAUCGGCCACACUGGAACUGAGACACGGUCCAGACUCCUACGGGAGGCAGCAGUAGGGAAUCUUCCGCAAUGGGCGAAAGCCUGACGGAGCAACGCCGCGUGAGUGAUGAAGGUCUUCGGAUCGUAAAACUCUGUUAUUAGGGAAGAACAUAUGUGUAAGUAACUGUGCACAUCUUGACGGUACCUAAUCAGAAAGCCACGGCUAACUACGUG